rnacentral:rRNA from 1 species
GAUCCUGGCUCAGGAUGAACGCUAGCUACAGGCUUAACACAUGCAAGUCGAGGGGCAGCAUGAACUUAGCUUGCUAAGUUUGAUGGCGACCGGCGCACGGGUGAGUAACACGUAUCCAACCUGCCGAUGACUCGGGGAUAGCCUUUCGAAAGAAAGAUUAAUACCCGAUGGCAUAGUUCUUCCGCAUGGUGGAACUAUUAAAGAAUUUCGGUCAUCGAUGGGGAUGCGUUCCAUUAGGUUGUUGGCGGGGUAACGGCCCACCAAGCCUUCGAUGGAUAGGGGUUCUGAGAGGAAGGUCCCCCACAUUGGAACUGAGACACGGUCCAAACUCCUACGGGAGGCAGCAGUGAGGAAUAUUGGUCAAUGGACGAGAGUCUGAACCAGCCAAGUAGCGUGCAGGAUGACGGCCCUAUGGGUUGUAAACUGCUUUUAUAAGGGAAUAAAGUGAGUCUCGUGAGACUUUUUGCAUGUACCUUAUGGAUAAGGACCGGCUAAUUCCGUG